rnacentral:rRNA from 1 species
GGGACACGUGGUAUCCUGUCUGAAUAUGGGGGGACCAUCCUCCAAGGCUAAAUACUCCUGACUGACCGAUAGUGAACCAGUACCGUGAGGGAAAGGCGAAAAGAACCCCGGCGAGGGGAGUGAAAAAGAACCUGAAACCGUGUACGUACAAGCAGUGGGAGCACGCUUAGGCGUGUGACUGCGUACCUUUUGUAUAAUGGGUCAGCGACUUAUAUUCUGUAGCAAGGUUAACCGAAUAGGGGAGCCGAAGGGAAACCGAGUCUUAACUGGGCGUUAAGUUGCAGGGUAUAGACCCGAAACCCGGUGAUCUAGCCAUGGGCAGGUUGAAGGUUGGGUAACACUAACUGGAGGACCGAACCGACUAAUGUUGAAAAAUUAGCGGAUGACUUGUGGCUGGGGGUGAAAGGCCAAUCAAACCGGGAGAUAGCUGGUUCUCCCCGAAAGCUAUUUAGGUAGCGCCUCGUGAAUUCAUCUCCGGGGGUAGAGCACUGUUUCGGCAAGGGGGUCAUCCCGACUUACCAACCCGAUGCAAACUGCGAAUACCGGAGAAUGUUAUCACGGGAGACACACGGCGGGUGCUAACGUCCGUCGUGAAGAGGGAAACAACCCAGACCGCCAGCUAAGGUCCCAAAGUCAUGGUUAAGUGGGAAACGAUGUGGGAAGGCCCAGACAGCCAGGAUGUUGGCUUAGAAGCAGCCAUCAUUUAAAGAAAGCGUAAUAGCUCACUGGUCGAGUCGGCCUGCGCGGAAGAUGUAACGGGGCUAAACCAUGCACCGAAGCUGCGGCAGCGACACUAUGUGUUGUUGGGUAGGGGAGCGUUCUGUAAGCCUGUGAAGGUGUGCUGUGAGGCAUGCUGGAGGUAUCAGAAGUGCGAAUGCUGACAUAAGUAACGAUAAAGCGGGUGAAAAGCCCGCUCGCCGGAAGACCAAGGGUUCCUGUCCAACGUUAAUCGGGGCAGGGUGAGUCGACCCCUAAGGCGAGGCCGAAAGGCGUAGUCGAUGGGAAACAGGUUAAUAUUCCUGUACUUGGUGUUACUGCGAAGGGGGGACGGAGAAGGCUAUGUUGGCCGGGCGACGGUUGUCCCGGUUUAAGCGUGUAGGCUGGUUUUCCAGGCAAAUCCGGAAAAUCAAGGCUGAGGCGUGAUGACGAGGCACUACGGUGCUGAAGCAACAAAUGCCCUGCUUCCAGGAAAAGCCUCUAAGCAUCAGGUAACAUCAAAUCGUACCCCAAACCGACACAGGUGGUCAGGUAGAGAAUACCAAGGCGCUUGAGAGAACUCGGGUGAAGGAACUAGGCAAAAUGGUGCCGUAACUUCGGGAGAAGGCACGCUGAUAUGUAGGUGAAGUCCCUCGCGGAUGGAGCUGAAAUCAGUCGAAGAUACCAGCUGGCUGCAACUGUUUAUUAAAAACACAGCACUGUGCAAACACGAAAGUGGACGUAUACGGUGUGACGCCUGCCCGGUGCCGGAAGGUUAAUUGAUGGGGUUAGCCGCAAGGCGAAGCUCUUGAUCGAAGCCCCGGUAAACGGCGGCCGUAACUAUAACGGUCCUAAGGUAGCGAAAUUCCUUGUCGGGUAAGUUCCGACCUGCACGAAUGGCGUAAUGAUGGCCAGGCUGUCUCCACCCGAGACUCAGUGAAAUUGAACUCGCUGUGAAGAUGCAGUGUACCCGCGGCAAGACGGAAAGACCCCGUGAACCUUUACUAUAGCUUGACACUGAACAUUGAGCCUUGAUG